CCUUAGGAUAUAGAGACAUCAUAGGUCCAUGAAGUGAAUGAGAAAAGAAUAGGAUUGAGAUGAAGAGGGAAGGGGAAUGGAAUCAACAUAAAUUGGUCAAAGAAGGACUUUUAUCAAAUUAAAAUCAUUCAUUCAUUUUGGGAGAUGAAAUGUACAUUUCAUCAAUCCCCUAAAUCCAAUGAUUUUAACUUAACAAAGUCAAAUCAACAUUGACCAAGGCCCAACAACAGAAGUCAAACUCAAAAAGCCAAUAUCAAAAGCU
rnacentral:lncRNA from 1 species